GUGUAUAGGGCUUUUGUAUGUAUGGAUUGUGGUAAGGCUUGUCAGAAGUUGUAAUUCCUACCUCCAGUUUCAGAUACAUGGCAGAAUUUCACCUGAUGGCAUUUGAUCGUUAUGUUCAGAGAUGCUCAGUUGCUCACUACUGAUGCUGUAGAGCUCACUCCCCCAAAUUUGCAACCCUCUCAUGAACUCUGAAAUUAGAAUCGAGGUUUGUGUUCAUUCCUGUACACACUUGAGCUAUUCAGUUCCAAUUUUCAUCUGAAUCGUUCUGUGUUCAUCUACAAAGCAAAGCACAUCUAGAGCGCAUCCAGCGAUGAGAAGAGAAAAGGGGAGGAAAACGAGAGGUUCGCCCCAAGAUCCGGCCGAGCCUCGUCGAACAGCUUCGCGCUCCGCCACCUAUCUCCGGCGCCGACGACGUGGGGCUCGGCGGGGAUUUACCUCGUCAGAGAGCUCGUUCGCUUGCCGUCGUCGCAUCAACGGCAAUGCAAACAUAUAAUGUCUCCCUGACUCGUGGGGCCCACUUGAGGGCAAGAACGCAACAAUGACGCGUGUCUCUCCUGCUUGAGAACUAACCAGCAGCCGCUCGCCGGAGCUCCUGCCGGAAACCCCAAAUCUCGGCGCCCGUAUCCGGAGGCGGUUCGUGUCCCGUUGGUUCUUGGAGACUUGGACUCCUAUCCUCGUUCAGAUCAGGGGCGCUGUUCAGUUCUUGUUUAUCCAGCAGGGCGCACCGAAAUUUGCAGAGGAAUCUCAAUCUCCAAACUGGUAGGAAGAGAUUUUGGUCGAUAGAAGUAGAGUUCUUGUUUGUUCUUUGGUCUGUAGAGUUCACUAGUUCAGAUAAUCAUGUCAUCAACACCAUGAAUUGAAAGAGAUGCUGUACUGCUGUUUAUUGUGUUUACUGUUUAAUUCGUAGUAUCCAUCAAACCUGUAUCUGUUUGGGAGAAUGUUCGAUCAAAUUCAACUCAUGACCAAAUUCGUGUUAGGCAAAUAUUCACAUUCAAUCUGUUACUUCCUCCGUUUUACAAUGUAAGUCAUUAUAGUAUUUUUCAUAUUCAUAUUAGUUUUA
rnacentral:lncRNA from 1 species